rnacentral:rRNA from 1 species
GAUUAACGCUGGCGGCGUGCAUAACACAUGCAAGUCGAACGAACAAACUUAGUAGACUUCUUCGGAAAGACACUAAGCGGAUUAGUGGCGAAAGGGUGAGUAACGCGUGAGUAACCUGCCUUACACAAGGGGAUAGCCUUUUGAAACGAAGAAUAAUACCCUAUCAAACCAUAAAAGAACAUGCUAGAGUGGUCAAAGUGAUAGCGGAGUAAGAUGGACUUGCGUCUGAUUUGCUAGUUGGUGAGGUAAAAGCUCACCAAGGCAACGAGCCGUAGCCGGCUUGGGAGAGCGGACGGCCACACUACGACUGGGACCAGGCCCAGAUCCCUCGGAGAGGCCGCAGGGGUGACGGUUGCACACCGGGGGAGACAUGAAUGCAGCGAGGCCGUGUGACUCAGAAGGCCGUGGGGUUGUAAAGUUCUAUUGUAUGGGAAGAAAAUGACAGUACUAUACGAAUAAGGCCCGGCUAAUUACGUG